GAGGGGCUGUAGCCGAGUGGCAGAGCAUCUGCUUUGCAUGCAGAAGGGCCCAGGUUCAGCCCUGGGCAUCUUG